UGUAGAUGCCAUGAUGUAACAGCAGAAAGCUGCCACUCAGUGCACCAGUGAGGGUGACUCGGAUGAAGCCAAAGAUGGUCCAGGGGAAAAACAGAAAAAGCAAAGGCACCUUGGACAACUCCUCUGGCAGUGUACCUGAAGAAGAAGCCCUUCUGAUAGCCAGGGGAACUGUCUCCGGGGACUACAGAAAGCCAAGGUGACUUCUCUGAACAAGACCAUAAAGUUUCUCUUCUUGGUCACGGUCACCUGAUGAAGUUUCAGCUUGCUUAACUUACUGUGCAUUUAAAGGGCAAGCAAAGAGAACAAGAAAGAAUACUGGGCACAAUGAUUUGGGAGAAAAAAGGAUCGCAGAAAAAGCAAGGAAAGAAUGAUCUGUUCCAUCCACUUCAAUUUCAUGGUUGAUGUAAUACAAUUAACCCCUCAAUAUCUUCUAGCUUUGAGAGGAGACUUAACCAUACAAAAUAAGAAACAGCAAUUCACAUAAAACUGCUUCAAAUAACUUUCUUUUAAAUGAGAGAACUUUUUUCUUUAAAAAAGAAAACAAAAGCAAUAAAUAUUUUUCACCCUUGUGAGUUUAUUUUAAAGGAUACUGUAUUAUGAGUAUACUUGAAAACUAAGACUUUGACUUCCUAGCUUUUAUUUUAUAUAGAAAAUGAUUGUCACUUUACACAUACAAGAAGUAAUUACAGCUAGUCACUUUGUUCUCACCAUCAUUUCUGUCACACAGGUAACAGUUGCUUUCUUCCUGCCAAGAAUCUGUGUUUGUCUUCAAUAAUACUUUAUAAUUCGGUUCCUUUUGCAUAUGUUUCCUAUAUAGAUAAGCAGAGAUGUACUAAACACUAACUUUUCAAAGCUAAUUCUCAUCUCCUCCUUAUUCUCUUCUGAUUAUUCUUUCUUUAAGCUAAUGAAUAUAUGAACAUCUCUUACUAUGUGCUUGCUAAGCACUGGAGAAUUGACACAAUAUAUUUUGGCACAGUUCAAUAGAACUAUUAAAUA